AUUGAUCGCUGGCGGCGUGCCUAACACAUGCAAGUCGAGCGAACCUUUCGGGGUGAGCGGCGGACGGGUGAGUAACGCGUGGGUAACCUGCCCUAUACACACGGAUAACGUACCGAAAGGUACGCUAAUAGGGGAUAAAGUUGUUGGAUGGCAUCUUCUAACAGUCAAAGCUCCGGCGGUAUAGGAUGGACCCGCGUCUGAUUAGCUAGUUGGUGAGGUAAUGGCUCACCAAGGCGACGAUCAGUAGCCGACCUGAGAGGGUGAUCGGCCACACUGGAACUGAGACACGGUCCAGACUCCUACGGGAGGCAGCAGUGGGGAAUAUUGCACAAUGGGCGAAAGCCUGAUGCAGCAACGCCGCGUGAGCGAUGAAGGUCUUCGGAUCGUAAAGCUCUGUCCUCAAGGAAGAUAAUGACGGUACUUGAGGAGGAAGCCCCGGCUAACUACGUGCCAGCCGCCGCCGUAA
rnacentral:rRNA from 1 species